GCCCGUGUAGCCCAAUCGGUAGAGGCGGCUGCUUCAAAACCAGCAGGUUGGAAGUUCGAAUCUUCUCACGGGUA
rnacentral:tRNA from 1 species